GACGAACGCUGGCGGCGCGCUUAACACAUGCAAGUCGAGCGAAGCGGCGGACGGGUGAGUAACACGUGAGUAACCUGCCUUAGACAUUGGGAUAGCCUCGGGCAACCGGGAUUAAUACCAAAUGGUCUAAGAUGGACUCGCGUCCCAUUAGCUAGUUGGUGGGUAACGGCCAACCAAGGCGACGAUGGGUAGCCGGCGUGAGAGGGUGAACGGCCACCUUGGAACUGAGAAAGGGGCCAAACUCGACGGGAGGCAGCAGGGGGGAAUAGUGCACAAUGGAGGGAACGCGUAUGCAGCGACGCCGCGUGAACGAAGAAGGCUUUCGAGACGGAAAGUGCUAUUAUAUGGGAAGCGUUAUCAUUGUAAAAAGCACAGGCUAACUACGUGACAGCAGCCGCGGUAAUAC
rnacentral:rRNA from 1 species